CUAACUUUCAGCGUAAUAGUGUUAGAUCUAACCGUCCCAUAUAUCAUAUUUCUCAUAGUUCUGCAUCCCCACAAUUUGUUGCACUUUUUAUUGCUAGUGUUCCAAAAUUUGACUAUGCUCAGCUAUGGCUUAUUAAUAAAACCCAUCUUCUGAUUCCAGAAUAUGGUGCACUUCCGCAUCUUGAUAAGAAUAUUUGUUUGAUAUGCAGUAUUGAUUUGCAAUCCGCUACUUCUGGCAUUUUUCAUAAUUCUAACAGUCGCCCUAUGGCUAACAUGGAUAAUCUUAAUACCUGUGGAAGUCUAGAAGUCCAGGACUCUAAUUCUGUUGCGAUGCCUGCAACUAUUUUGGUUAAUACUUCCAACCCCUCUGAUUCCGUAGGUGAAUGGCAAUGUACAGACAAUGGUAUUCCACAGUUUAUAGUUAGAAUUGAUGAAGUAGCACAGCCUUCUACUCCUAUAGCUUCUGUAUCUCCCUCUACGCCUAUACCAGAAUCUACCACACCUCCAUUUCAGGAAGGUGACCCUAUUCAAGUUCGUUUGGACUCUGCUACACAAGUAGCAUAUGAUGUUUCAUAUCGUUUGGUUACCUGGCACUUACAAUUAAAUAAAUGGUUGGUUUCCACACAAUAUUCCAAUUGUACGCCAUUCGUAUCAGUACAGGAAAGAGCUUUUCAGUGGUGGUUUUUUGAAAGCAUGUUGUAUAAUGUAUCACUUCGAUCACACCAUCGCCCUAG